AUACCUCCUGUCCAAAUCCUACAGGGCUUGGACAUCCAGGUGCACUUCGUGCCCGGCCUUCUUCCUCUCUGGCUCUGUCUCAGUUUUAUUUCCAACCUCAAAAAGGAGAAAUCACUUACCCAUGGUCUUUUCCUACCUCAGAGGAGAGAGACCUGAGUAGAAAGUGCAAGUCAAACCCAGGGACAGGUAAGGAGGUUGGCCAAGCAGAGUCAGGAGUUGGAGUGGAGCUUAGAGAGUGUCAGACAGUUGGGGCCCUCAGGAGGUGGGGCCCUGGGGAGGCAGGACCCUAGGGAGGUGUGGCUUCUGGGGUUCCUAUCUUGCUAAGGCCAGGGCAAGGAAAGGAUGGGAGAUGAUGGAGGUGGCUUAGCUGGAAUCCUGGAGGAAAGCUGGAGGUGGGCAAUGGAAGACUAAUGGGAUCCUGUCUGGCGGGGAAGGACCACUAUGCUAUGGGCUUGAGCAGAACCUUGUCAGCAGUGAUGUGGGAAGAGCUCUGCAUCCACAAGAAGCUGGCAGACAAUGGCUCUCCCUGCAGAGCUGGCCCUGGGUCCUGGGGCUGCCCAGGCUGGGGGAGUCUUUGGCUCCAGCAAGAACCCAUGAAUUUCUGAAUUCAGGAAACUCCUCUUAGAGUUCUUUCCACUGGCAUCCCUUAUUCCCUUUGGCUCCUGAAAUGCCAUCGCCCACUCCAGCCCCCUUCCCUUUCCUAGUCCCCAACACUGGAGGUGCUGGCAUAGAAGGGUCGUGUGGCUUUUUGGUGUCAUACAAAAUGUUUUUUAAAUAGCUCUUCUUAAAAAUGUGACCCAUACAAUAAAUGACCUCACCUGAACCAGA